rnacentral:tRNA from 1 species
GGGGACUUAGCUCAGCGGUAGAGCGCUUGCCUAGCAAGCGAAAGGCCCUGGGUUCGAUCCCCAGCUCA